UCUGAACGCUGGCGGCAUGGUUAAAGCAUGCAAGUCGAACGAAACCCUUCGGGGUGAAAGUGGCGAAAGGGCGAGUAAUGCGAUCGAAUGUACCCCAAGGUGGGGGAUAGCGUCGGGAAACUGACGGUAAUACCCCAUGUCCUCUACGGAGAAAAGGCUUGCCGCCUUGGGAUCAGCGAUCGUCCUAUCAGGUAGUUGGUGAGGUAAAAGCUCACCAAGCCGAAGACGGGUAGCGGGUGUGAGAGCAUGACCCGCCGCAUCGGAACUGAGACACUGUCCGG
rnacentral:rRNA from 1 species